rnacentral:lncRNA from 1 species
CAGACAUUUCACAAAUAUCCCAUUAAAAGUUUUUUCAGAUUUAGCGUAUGCCUAACUAAGAGCCAGUUGGUUUGUUGAAUUAAUUUUGUAUUCAUUUUCUUGUAGCUAUCAUUUUAGUUUUUAUUAAUGUUUGAUUGUGUUUUCGUUUCUUAUUAUGACCUAUCGUGCGACAUGGAAAACAAAUGUUCUACCAAAUUUGUUUUCUUACCUUUUACUAACGACUAUAACAAGAGUUCGCCAAUUUCUUUCGAAUUUUACAAGGGGUUCCCAAGAAGGAAAAGGUUAGGAACCACUGUAUUAAAAUAUAUAAUAUAUACAGAGAGUUUUUCUUGAAACCGAACAUUGAUUUUUGGCAUCGAGCCAAUUCUGAUGCAUAUAUCGCGUCAGGAAUCUGGUGGCUACGAAAAUUUAUUUUAUAUUUUUUAUAUAAUGGCCAUGCGUUUGAACGUAUUGGCCGUUUUGAACGGAUUCAAAUCGGUGAACGUUUUCGGCGGUUAUGCCCCUGCG